GUAGGGAAUAUUGGACAAUGGGGGCAACCCUGAUCCAGCAAUGCCGCGUGAGUGAUGAAGGCCUUAGGGUUGUAAAGCUCUUUUACCCGGGAUGAUAAUGACAGUACCGGGAGAAUAAGCUCCGGCUAACUCCGUGCCAGCAGCCGCGGUAAUACGGAGGGAGCUAGCGUUGUUCGGAAUUACUGGGCGUAAAGCGCGCGUAGGCGGCUAUUUAAGUCAGAGGUGAAAGCCUGGAGCUCAACUCCAGAACUGCCUUUGAGACUGGAUAGCUAGAAUCCUGGAGAGGUGAGUGGAAUUCCGAGUGUAGAGGUGAAAUUCGUAGAUAUUCGGAAGAACACCAGUGGCGAAGGCGGCUCACUGGACAGGUAUUGACGCUGAGGUGCGAAAGCGUGGGGAGCAAACAGGAUUAGAUACCCCAGUAGUCC
rnacentral:rRNA from 1 species